rnacentral:lncRNA from 1 species
GAUUCUGAAACUCCGAUGAUACUUUUUCCAACCGCACUGAUGCCUACGGCUGCUGCGGCUGCUGCUGCAUGGCCUGCACUACUUCAGUGAGGCCCCCGACCUACUGAACCAGCAAGUCGAACUACUCCAUGCCGACUGUCAUUGCCGGAGGAGGAGGAGCCUGAAAAAUUAGAGACGAGACUGGAGUUUAUGGAGCUUGCUGAGAUCUGGCCGCAGAGGCCGUGGAUCGCCUGGUGGAUGCCUUUCGGAGAGGCAUCAGGUGGAGAUCUGGCAGGAGAAGGAGAAGUCGAUGUCAGAGAAGGUGAUCGGAGAUAGUCCCGUUGAGCACUCCUUUAAGAAUAAGGGUACUAUGAAGACACAGGCCCUUCCUCUAGUGCCAAUUCUGUUGGUGCAGAAUAUCACCGACGUCAGAGAAGCUAGAGUCGAGGGGUCAUGUCUGCCAUCGGGACCUGUAAGGGAAGUCUAAACCAGAGUUCGGGUUGCUCCGGUAAGACCCUCCG